rnacentral:rRNA from 1 species
AUGGAGAUGACGAGCAGCACGAUGGUGAAGCCGGUACCGCACCCGCUCGUCGGUGAGAAGGUCCCGCUGACCAUCUUCGACCGCGCUGCCGUGGACGUCUUCGUCCCCACCAUGCUCGCGUACCCUGCGGCUGCGCCGGCGAACGAGGCGCUCAAGGAAUGCCUUCUCAAGGCCGUGGCGCCGUACCCGCACCUGGCGGGGCGCCUUGCCGUCGACCAGCUCGGCCGGCGCUUCCUCCACGUCAAUAAUGAGGGCGUGCACUAG